rnacentral:misc_RNA from 1 species
GUAGGUGAACCUGCGGAAGGAUCAUUAACACGUAUCCACGUUUCAAUAUCCACCCCAACUCUGGUCACAGGAUCUAACACGGCAGGUCGCAAUGUUGUCCGCUGCAAAGUGGACCACCUCUUCCCUCUGCCUUGAUCUCUACCCUUUUUUCACCCCCUUUGACUCACCCUACAAACACCCCGAGUGGACUGAUAUCAACGUGUCGACCUUCACAGGCUCGACCGAACCAUAUGGAUUUUCCAAUGAGUUAAGCACAACUCUUAGCAAUGGAUAUCUUGGUUCUC